CCUACGGGAGGCAGCAGUGAGGAAUAUUGGUCAAUGGUCGGGAGACUGAUCCAGCCAAGCCGCGUGAGGGAGGAAGGUACAGAGUAUCGUAAACCUCUUUUGUCAGGGAACAAAGACUGGGACGCGUCCCCGGAUGAGUGUACCUGAAGAAAAAGCAUCGGCUAACACCGUGCCAGCAGCCGCGGUAAUACGUAGGGGGCAAGCGUUAUCCGGAUUCACUGGGUGUAAAGGGCGCGUAGACGGCGAGAUAAGUCUGGUGUGAAAGGCCGGGGCCCAACCCCGGGACUGCACUUGAAACUGGCUGGGUAGAGUAAAGGAGAGGGAAGUGGAAUGCCGGGUGUAGCGGUGAAAUGCGUAGAUAUUAGGAGGAACACCAGUGGCGAAGGCGGCUUACUGGACUGUAACUGACGUUGAGGCUCGAAAGCGUGGGGAGCAAACAGGAUUAGAUACCCGAGUAGUC
rnacentral:rRNA from 1 species